GAUGAACGCUGGCGGCGUGCCUAAUACAUGCAAGUCGAGCGAACGGACGAGAAGCUUGCUUCUCUGAUGUUAGCGGCGGACGGGUGAGUAACACGUGGAUAACCUACCUAUAAGACUGGGAUAACUUCGGGAAACCGGAGCUAAUACCGGAUGAUAUUUUGAACCGCAUGGUUCAAAAGUGAAAGACGGUCUUGCUGUCACUUAUAGAUGGAUCCGCGCUGCAUUAGCUAGUUGGUAAGGUAACGGCUUACCAAGGCAACGAUGCAUAGCCGACCUGAGAGGGUGAUCGGCCACACUGGAACUGAGACACGGUCCAGACUCCUACGGGAGGCAGCAGUAGGGAAUCUUCCGCAAUGGGCGAAAGCCUGACGGAGCAACGCCGCGUGAGUAAUGAAGGUCUUCGGAUCGUAAAACUCUGUUAUUAGGGAAGAACAUAUGUGUAAGUAACUGUGCACAUCUUGACGGUACCUAAUCAGAAAGCCACGGCUAACUACGUGCCAGCAGCCGCGGUAAUACGUAGGUGGCAAGCGUUAUCCGGAAUUAUUGGGCGUAAAGCGCGCGUAGGCGGUUUUUUAAGUCUGAUGUGAAAGCCCACGGCUCAACCGUGGAGGGUCAUUGGAAACUGGAAAACUUGAGUGCAGAAGAGGAAAGUGGAAUUCCAUGUGUAGCGGUGAAAUGCGCAGAGAUAUGGAGGAACACCAGUGGCGAAGGCGACUUUCUGGUCUGUAACUGACGCUGAUGUGCGAAAGCGUGGGGAUCAAACAGGAUUAGAUACCCUGGUAGUCCACGCCGUAAACGAUGAGUGCUAAGUGUUAGGGGGUUUCCGCCCCUUAGUGCUGCAGCUAACGCAUUAAGCACUCCGCCUGGGGAGUACGACCGCAAGGUUGAAACUCAAAGGAAUUGACGGGGACCCGCACAAGCGGUGGAGCAUGUGGUUUAAUUCGAAGCAACGCGAAGAACCUUACCAAAUCUUGACAUCCUUUGACAACUCUAGAGAUAGAGCCUUCCCCUUCGGGGGACAAAGUGACAGGUGGUGCAUGGUUGUCGUCAGCUCGUGUCGUGAGAUGUUGGGUUAAGUCCCGCAACGAGCGCAACCCUUAAGCUUAGUUGCCAUCAUUAAGUUGGGCACUCUAAGUUGACUGCCGGUGACAAACCGGAGGAAGGUGGGGAUGACGUCAAAUCAUCAUGCCCCUUAUGAUUUGGGCUACACACGUGCUACAAUGGACAAUACAAAGGGCAGCGAAACCGCGAGGUCAAGCAAAUCCCAUAAAGUUGUUCUCAGUUCGGAUUGUAGUCUGCAACUCGACUACAUGAAGCUGGAAUCGCUAGUAAUCGUAGAUCAGCAUGCUACGGUGAAUACGUUCCCGGGUCU
rnacentral:rRNA from 1 species